AUAAUUGAGAGCUUUUAUGGUAAAUAUUUACCAGAAAGUGAUUUAUAAAAACGAUAUUAUCGGGUAAUAAAUAGAAACUUGAAAAGUAGUAAGUAUACAGUAAUAGAGUCGGGUUGAAACGGAUGUAUUGGAGAAUCGUUCGAGUCGGGAUUUUACUCUGUGUAGGAAAGUUUUAAAACAAUUAAACAAUUAUAUAUAUUUUUAAUUGACUGGGGGAUUUUCUUGAAGAGUCACCAAAUGACGUCUUUUGACGUUGUUUUUCUUUGAGUUAUAACGCACUACAGAACGUGAAUUGACACGUUAAAUUAAAAAAAAUCAACGUCGCGACACCCCUCCUGAACCACCCCUAUCAGCCCCGGGGCGCCUGACAAAAAUCCUGUGAAAAGCACCGAUGGUGAAUAGAGCAUACAAAAGAAUAACAAAGUAGAUAAAAAAGCAAUUAUUUCUUGCUUUAAUGGUCCCAUUUGUAUGAAUUUGUGGUUAAGACAGGUAAACGUUGAUAAGUUGAUAAGUUUUUGCAGCAUCAGUGUUCCUUAGUCCCUGCAGUGGUGAUAAUUAAUAAUAAUAUUUUGCACCUCGGGACAAUAGACGGCGAAUUGCUUUCUCCACAACCCUUUUGGCUUAUAAAGCUUAGAGUUGAAUUAUUGCAACAAUCGCCCGGAGUCCCAUCGGUACUUUAAUCCGUAAUAUUAUCAGCAUAAACUAUUUUCUUGCAUAAAUAAACACAAUCACAUCAUAUAUACACAUGUAUAUAUAUAUAUAUAUAUAUAUAUCAAUAACGCACAAAUUAAAACAACUUACAUGAUGUGGUGUGCUAGCAUAAGAAUAAUAUAAAUCCGAAGUUUCAAACAUGUCAACGUUUCAUGAAAAUGUGUAAGUUUAUAAUGGAAAGGCCGAGUAUUCCGAAUUUAAAAAUAGUCAUCUAUUGUCUCAGUAAUCAAGAGGAUAGAUCUGAUGUCUUAUCAACCAAUAGUAAUACACCAACUUUCUUUGAAACCUCCGUAAGAUGGAUCAAAUCGUCAAUUCAAAACUUCGGCUUUUUUUGUUUGAACUUUAAGUUUUGAGAAUUUAUCCACAAAUAGCACACAAUUUGAUAUCAAUGGUAACAGGUAUAAAACCGCAUUGUGUUUGUUAAGCGGUUCUAGGUUGAUUGAAUUCGCUUUUAUAGACAAACUUGAGACUUCUUAAUUUGGUCUUAUCAGGAAGAAGCAUUCAAUAAGAACUUGAAACACCUCUUUGUAUGCCCCCAAAGGAGGGCAUAUAGUGAUUGAACUGUCCGUCCGUCUGUCCGUCACACUUUGCGUUUAGGUUUCGAAAAAUGCUCAUAACUUCUAUGUCGCUUCAGAUAGCAAUUUUAUAUUUGGCAUGCAUGUGUAUAUGGACAAGGCCUUUCCAUACGCACACAAAUUUUGACCCCUGUGACCUUGAACUUAGGGUCCGCGUUAAGGUUUCGAAAUCUGCGUUUAGGUUUCGAAAAAUGCUCAUAACUUCUAUCAAGCGUUUAUAGGGGGCAUAAGUCAUCCUAUGGUGACAGCUCUUGUUUUAAAAAACAAAUUCAUAAACUUGUUUCAAUUGUGAAAUUGAGUUCUUGUAUCAAUAAGAGUUUAAGUCAUGUUUUAGCACUUACAUCAUAAAAUACCUUUACUGAAUGAUAUGCCUUGAUUUUGUUGAGUCGUGGGUUUAAAGAUUAUCAGAGAUCACUUGGUUCAAUAUUCGAACACAAUGCAGUAUGUUCUGGUAAAAAGUAUUUAAAAAAUCAUCGUUUUGAUCAUUAAAAAAGGGGAAAAAAAACAGUUAAAUAUUAUAAUUUUGUUUUGCAACACACAAUUGUUUAUUGAGGAGUAUUUGCAUGCAACUGCAUCUGUUAACAUUUUUUAACAAGAAAGUUGAAAUACAUGUAAUACAGCCAAUCAGAACCCAUGAUUCAAGAAGGACCUUACUUUUAAGAUGGCGGUUUGACACUAUCAACACAAUAAAUUAUUUGGAUGUUAACAGAUGGUAAACAUUUGAAAAAAAAGCAACAAAUAUGAAAAACAAAGUAAAAAAAAUAGGUUAAUAAUGAUUCAUGGUCAAACAAAUGGAGUUCCAAUUGUUGUUAAACAUUAGUGGAAAAAUGUAAUUGUUGACAUAAUAUUUAUGCCCCCCUUCGAAGAAGAGGGGGUAUAUUGCUUUGCUCAUGUCGGUCUGUCGGUCGGUCAGUCCGUCCACCAGGUGGUUGUCAGACGAUUACUCAAGAACGCUUGGGCCUAGGAUCAUGAAACUUCAUAGGUACAUUGAUCAUGACUCGCAGAUAACCCCUAUGGAUUUUGAGGUCACUAGGUCAAAGGUCAAGGUCACGGUGACCCGAAAUAGUAAAAUGGUUUUUGAAUGAUAACUCAAGAACGCAUACGCCUAGGAUCAUGAAACUUCAUGGGUAGAUUGAUCAUGACUCGCAGAUGACCCCUAUUGAUUUUGAGGUCACUAGGUCAAAGGUCAAGGUCACGGUGACCCGAAAUAGUAAAAUGGUUUUCGGAUGAUAACUCAAGAACGCAUAUGCCUAGGAUCAUGAAACUUCACAGGUAGAUUGAUCAUGACUCGCAGAUGACCCCUAUUGAUUUUGAGGUCACAAGGUCAAAGGUCAAGGUCACGGUGACCCGAAAUAGUAAAAUGAUUUUCGGAUGAUAACUCAAAAACGCUUUUGCCUAGGAUCAUGACACUUCAUAGGUAUAUUGAUCGUGACUCGCAGAUGACCCCUAUUGAUUUUCAGGUCAUUAGGUCAAAGGUCAAGGUCACAGUGACAAAAAACGUAUUUACACAAUGGCUGCCACUACAACGGACAGCCCAUAUGGGGGGCAUGCAUGUUUUACAAACAGCCCUUGUUAUAUUUU